AGCAGCCGCGGUAAUUCCAGCUCCAAUAGCGUAUAUUAAAGUUGUUGCAGUUAAAAAGCUCGUAGUUGAAUUUCGGGGUCAGUAAGUUGGUCGUGCCACUGGUAUGCACUGGCUUUACUGACUCCUCCUUCUUGAAGAACUGUGAUGCCAUUAAUUUGGUGUUGCAGGGAAACAGGACUGUUACUUUGAAAAAAUUAGAGUGUUUAAAGCAGGCUAACGCUUGAAUACAUUAGCAUGGAAUAAUGAAAUAGGACGUUUGACCCUAUUUUGUUGGUUUCUAGGAUCGACGUAAUGAUUAAUAGGGAUAGUUGGGGGCAUUAGUAUUCAAUUGUCAGAGGUGAAAUUCUUGGAUUUAUUGAAGACUAACUACUGCGAAAGCAUUUGUCCAAGGAUGUUUUCUAUUAAUCAAGAACGAAAGUUAAGGGGAGUCGAAGACGAUCAGAUACCGUCGUAGUCUUAACCAUAAACUAUGCCGACUAGGGAUCGGAUGAUGUUAAUUUUUAACGACUCAUUCGGCGCC
rnacentral:rRNA from 1 species